rnacentral:tRNA from 1 species
GAGAAAGUUACAAGAACUGCUAACUCUUGAAUCCAUGCCUAAUCACAU